UACGGAGGGUGCAAGCGUUAUCCGGAUUCACUGGGUUUAAAGGGUGCGUAGGCGGGCAGGUAAGUCCGUGGUGAAAUCUCUGAGCUUAACUCAGAAACUGCCAUGGAUACUAUUUGUCUUGAAUAUUGUGGAGGUAAGCGGAAUAUGUCAUGUAGCGGUGAAAUGCUUAGAUAUGACAUAGAACACCAAUUGCGAAGGCAGCUUACUACGGAUUGAUUGACACUGAGGCACGAAAGCGUGGGGAUCAAACAGG
rnacentral:rRNA from 1 species